UUGGGUGUAAACCCGCACGCGUAAUGAAAGUGAACGUAGGUGAGAGCUUCGGCGCAUCAUCGACCGAUCCUGAUGUAUUCGGAUGGAUUUGAGUAAGAGCGUAUAGCCUCGGACCCGAAAGAUGGUGAACUAUGCCUGAAUAGGGUGAAGCCAGAGGAAACUCUGGUGGAGGCUCGCAGCGGUUCUGACGUGCAAAUCGAUCGUCAAAUUUGGGCAUGGGGGCGAAAGACUAAUCGAACCAUCUAGUAGCUGGUUACCGCCGAAGUUUCCCUCAGGAUAGCAGUGUCGUUCUUCAGUUUUAUGAGGUAAAGCGAAUGAUUAGGGACUCGGGGGCGCUAUUUAGCCUUCAUCCAUUCUCAAACUUUAAAUAUGUAAGAAGCCCUUGUUACUUAAUUGAACGUGGGCAUUCGAAUGUACCGACACUAGUGGGCCAUUUUUGGUAAGCAGAACUGGCGAUGCGGGAUGAACCGAACGCGGGGUUAAGGUGCCAGAGUGGACGCUCAUCAGACACCACAAAAGGCGUUAGUACAUCUUGACAGCAGGACGGUGGCCAUGGAAGUCGGAAUCCGCUAAGGACUGUGUAACAACUCACCUGCCGAAUGUACUAGCCCUGAAAAUGGAUGGCGCUCAAGCGUCCCACCCAUACCCCGCCCUUAGGGUAGAAACGAUGCCCUAAGGAGUAGGCGGCCGUGGGGGUCAGUGACGAAGCCUAGGGCGUGAGCCC
rnacentral:rRNA from 1 species